rnacentral:rRNA from 1 species
GCUUUCACAUGCAAGUCGAACGGUAACGCGGGGGCAACCCUGGCGACGAGUGGCGAACGGGUGAGUAAUACAUCGGAACGUGCCCAGUAGUGGGGGAUAGCUCGGCGAAAGCCGGAUUAAUACCGCAUACGACCUACGGGUGAAAGCGGGGGAUCGCAAGACCUCGCGCUAUUGGAGCGGCCGAUGGCAGAUUAGCUUGUUGGUGAGGUAAAAGCUCACCAAGGCGACGAUCUGUAGCUGGUCUGAGAGGACGACCAGCCACACUGGGACUGAGACACGGCCCAGACUCCUACGGGAGGCAGCAGUGGGGAAUUUUGGACAAUGGGCGCAAGCCUGAUCCAGCAAUGCCGCGUGUGUGAUGAAGGCCUUCGGGUUGUAAAGCACUUUUAGUGGGAACGAAACGGUCCGGGCUAAUACCCUGGACUACUGACGGUACCCGCAGAAUAAGCACCGGCUAACUACGUGCCAGCAGCCGCGGUAAU